rnacentral:tRNA from 1 species
GAGGGUUUAGCUCAGGGGUAGAGUGCAUGCUUAGCAUGCAUAAGAUCCUGCGUUCAAUACCCAGUACCUCCA